UACGUAGGGUGCGAGCGUUGUCCGGAAUUACUGGGCGUAAAGAGCUCGUAGGUGGUUUGUCGCGUUGUUCGUGAAAACUCACAGCUCAACUGUGGGCGUGCGGGCGAUACGGGCAGACUAGAGUACUGCAGGGGAGACUGGAAUUCCUGGUGUAGCGGUGGAAUGCGCAGAUAUCAGGAGGAACACCGGUGGCGAAGGCGGGUCUCUGGGCAGUAACUGACGCUGGAGGAGCGAAAGCAUGGGGAGCGAACAGG
rnacentral:rRNA from 1 species